rnacentral:rRNA from 1 species
UAUGGCGACCGGCGCACGGGUGAGUAACACGUAUCCAACCUGCCGAUGACUCGGGGAUAGCCUUUCGAAAGAAAGAUUAAUACCCGAUGGCAUAGUUCUUCCGCAUGGUAGAACUAUUAAAGAAUUUCGGUCAUCGAUGGGGAUGCGUUCCAUUAGGUUGUUGGCGGGGUAACGGCCCACCAAGCCUUCGAUGGAUAGGGGUUCUGAGAGGAAGAUCCCCCACAUUGGAACUGAGACACGGUCCAA